UACGUAGGGUGCGAGCGUUAAUCGGAAUUACUGGGCGUAAAGCGUGCGCAGGCGGUUCGUUAAGUCAGCUGUGAAAGCCCCGGGCUCAACCUGGGAAUGGCGGUUGAAACUGGCGAACUAGAAUCUGGCAGAGGGGGGGUGGAAUUCCACGUGUAGCAGUGAAAUGCGUAGAGAUGUGGAGGAACACCGAUGGCGAAGGCAGCCCCCUGGGCUGAGAUUGACGCUCAGGACGAAAGCGUGGGGAGCAAACAGG
rnacentral:rRNA from 1 species